CAUUAAUCAGUCAUUCGUAAUUAUAAAAUGAGAGAUUACUUCACAGUUUCAGUUAAGACUAGAGAUAUGUAUACAUAUCGAUAACUGGGUGUCGCAAGAUAGCAUAUAGAAAGUGUUUCAGUUAUAGGCAGUAUAAGUCCGCUGCUCCUGUGAUAAUUUAAUAUUGUAAGAGAUGUUUGGUUGGUUUAGUUUGAGAAGAAUGAUUCAUUGUGCGUUUCAUGCGGCUUUAUAUAUUUGCAUUGGCCUUCCAGCUGACAACUUUCCAACUGUGUUCUUCGGCUACCGUUGAUGUAUUGCACGGAUGGUCGUUGAUACAUUCGGACCGUUUGUUUAAACAGUGCCCUCGAGUCAAGACAAAGUGUAAUUGCAAUUGUUCUCUUAUGCAACUCUUAGCCAAUAGUUUGCAAGCUCCGACAUAAGGAAAAUACCGUCACUGUUUUCACAUCUUUGAGCUCAGGAUUUACACGGUAUCGAGCGACAACUUUUUCCGUAGACGUGUAAUGUCUUCGAGCUACGAAGCAAGGUGAAACGUGGUGCGAAACAUGAUCACGUCGAUCACUUCUAUUUAUAAUUACGUAAAUGACAUGUGGCGUCAGUAGUGAGCGUGCUCCUCCAACGAAUGAAUGAAAUUGUACUACUGGAUGUGCGUCGGGCCUAAUGCGAUCUCGCUGCGACAUACGAGUGGUGUUGUGCGAAUUCUAAUUGUGACAAAUGCGAUAAAAAAGAUAAACGAAUCAAGACUAAAAUUAAAAUUACAAUAAUAACCGGCACUGUUGUACGCUGUUGCGGCCAAUAUUCGUUCCACACUGACAAUGAUUUUCUCUGUCAACGGAAGUGACACCGUGCACGGUGAC